CCUACGGGGGACAGCAGUGAGGAAUAUUGGUCAAUGGACGAGAGUCUGAACCAGCCAAGUAGCGUGAAGGAUGACUGCCCUAUGGGUUGUAAACUUCUUUUAUAUGGGAAUAAAAUGUUCCACGUGUGGGAUUUUGUAUGUACCAUAUGAAUAAGGAUCGGCUAACUCCGUUCCAGCAGCCGCGGUAAUACGGAGGAUCCGAUCGUUAUCCGGAUUUAUUGGGUUUAAAGGGAGCGUAGGUGGAUUGUUAAGUCAGUUGUGAAAGUUUGCGGCUCAACCGUAAAAUUGCAGUUGAAACUGGCAGUCUUGAGUACAGUAGAGGUGGGCGGAAUUCGUGGUGUAGCGGUGAAAUGCUUAGAUAUCACGAAGAACUCCGAUUGCGAAGGCAGUUCACUGGACUGCAACUGACACUGAGGCUCGAAAGUGUGGGUAUCAAACAGGAUUAGAUACCCGUGUAGUC
rnacentral:rRNA from 1 species